rnacentral:rRNA from 1 species
UACGUAGGGGGCAAGCGUUGUCCGGAAUUAUUGGGCGUAAAGAGCUCGUAGGCGGUUUGUCGCGUCUGCUGUGAAAACUCGGGGCUUAACCCCGGGCCUGCAGUGGGUACGGGCAGACUAGAGUGCGGCAGAGGGGGGGAUGGAAUUCCGCGUGUAGCAGUGAAAUGCGUAGAUAUGCGGAGGAACACCGAUGGCGAAGGCAAUCCCCUGGGCCUGCACUGACGCUCGAUGCACGAAAGCGUGGGAGCAAACAGG